AGUUAGACGUAAUCAACACAACUGAGAACAUCUGUCAUAGCAAGGCAUCAUGAUUAUUCUACUCCUCAGCAUCUAUUUUAAAUGUAAUCUAGUCACAGUUUCCUCUUCAAGUGAUCAAGUCAACCAGACUCCAGCUAAUAUUUACACAACAGGAGAAGAAGUUAAAAUCAACUGCUCACACAGUAUUCAAAGCUAUAACACAAUCCUCUGGUACAAGCAGUCAAAAACACAGCUUCAACUGCUGGGAUUUUUAUUUUUAGGUCAAGAUACUAUAGAGCCGGGAGCUAAUGUGACGAUAGAUGGGGGUGCAAAUGUAAAAGAGAAGUGCACAUUAACAAUUAAGGACAUCGAACUGA